AUUGAACGAGGGUGGAAGGGAGUACACAGGCAAGUCGAACGGCAGCACGGGUGCUUGCACCUGGUGGCGAGUGGCGAACGGGUGAGUAAUACAUCGGAACAUGUCCUGUAGUGGGGAUAGCCCGGCGAAAGCCGGAUUAAUACCGCAUACGAACUACGGAUGAAAGCGGGGGACCUUCGGGCCUCGCGCUAUAGGGUUGGCCGAUGGCUGAUUAGCUAGUUGGUGGGGUAAAGGCCUACCAAGGCGACGAUCAGUAGCUGGUCUGAGAGGAAGACCAGCCACACUGGGACUGAGACACGGCCCAGACUCCUACGGGAGGCAGCAGUGGGGAAUUUUGGACAAUGGGCGAAAGCCUGAUCCAGCAAUGCCGCGUGUGUGAAGAAGGCCUUCGGGUUGUAAAGCACUUUUGUCCGGAAAGAAAUCCUUGGCCCUAAUACGGUCGGGGGAUGACGGUACCGGAAGAAUAAGCACCGGCUAACUACGUG
rnacentral:rRNA from 1 species